AUAGUCGUAGCUGUUGCUAUUUCACAGUGUGUUUUCGGUUCAUGAAGGUUAAUUGUAACAUUUUGAUCGCCUAAAAACGUCUUGUUCAACGUUUGGCUGUACUAAAAGACCCUCUAAGGAGUCAGAUGUUCAGUUUUUCCAAUGGCGACGGUCAAUCGCUGAACUCCAGGCUUCAAAACAGUCCACAAACUAAUAGAUGACGUCAUGGAAGACGAGCGACCGCCUUUGUGGAAGAAAAAAUAAAGAAUAAAAGAGCAGGAGAAAGGAUGAAAAGCAGCGGACGUCAGCUUCUCUG